rnacentral:misc_RNA from 1 species
GAAAUGCGAUAAGUAAUGUGAAUUGCAGAAUUCCGUGAAUCAUCGAAUCUUUGAACGCACAUUGCGCCCUCUGGCAUCCCGGGGGGCAUGCCUGUCCGAGCGUCAUUACGCACCCUCAAGCCCGGCUUGUGUGAUGGGCCCUGGCGUCUCGUUCGCGAGACGGGCCCGAAAGGCAGCGGCGGCGUCGACCCGAUGAGCCCGAGCGUAUGGGGACUUUUGUCACACGUUUGCGGUGCGGACCGGCGCCUGCUUGACUUUUCUGAUUAUCCAGGUUGACCUCGGAUCAGGUAGGGAUACCCGCUGAACUUAAGC